AUACGUAGGUGACAAGCGUUAUCCGGAUUUACUGGGCGUAAAGGGCGUGUAGGCGGUCUUGCAAGUCAGAAGUGAAAUUCCUGAGCUCAACUCGGGCGCUGCUUCUGAAACUGCAGGACUUGAGUGCUGGAGGGGAUAGCGGAAUUCCUAGUGGAGCGGUAAAAUGCGCAGAUAUUAGGAAGAACACCGGUGGCGAAGGCGGCGAUCUGGACAGAAACUGACGCUGAGGCGGGAAAGCGUGGGGAGCAAACAGGAUUAGAUACCCUGGUAGUCCACGCUGUAAACGAUGAAUACUAGGUGUAGGGGGUAUCGACUCCCUCUGUGCCGCAGUUAACACAAUAAGUAUUCCGCCUGGGGAGUACGGCCGCAAGGUUGAAACUCAAAUGAAUUGACGGGG
rnacentral:rRNA from 1 species